rnacentral:rRNA from 1 species
ACAAUGUAGAGUUUGAUCCUGGCUCAGGAUGAACGCUAGCUACAGGCUUAACACAUGCAAGUCGAGGGGCAGCAUUUAUUUCCGCUUGCGGAGAUAAGAUGGCGACCGGCGCACGGGUGAGUAACGCGUAUCCAACCUGCCCCAUACUCGGGUCCAGCCCUCCGAAAGGAGGAUUAAUCCCCGAUGUUGUUCUUUGCGGGCAUCUAAUGAGAACCAAAGGUUUUUCCGGUAUGGGAUGGGGAUGCGUCUGAUUAGGAAGUAGGCGGGGUAACGGCCCACCUAUCCAUCGAUCAGUAGGGGUUCUGAGAGGAAGGUCCCCCACACUGGAACUGAGACACGGUCCAGACUCCUACGGGAGGCAGCAGUGAGGAAUAUUGGUCAAUGGUCGUAAGACUGAACCAGCCAAGUAGCGUGCAGGAUGACGGCCCUAUGGGUUGUAAACUGCUUUUAUGCGGGGAUAAAUGACACCACGUGUGGUGUUUUGUAGGUACCGCAUGAAUAAGGACCGGCUAAUUCCGUGCCAGCAGCCGCGGUAAUACGGAAGGUCCGGGCGUUAUCCGGAUUUAUUGGGUUUAAAGGGAGCGUAGGCCGCAUGUUAAGCGUGCCGUGAAAUGCCGUGGCUCAACCAUGGCACUGCGGCGCGAACUGGCUUGCUUGAGUGCGCGGAACGUAUGCGGAAUUCGUGGUGUAGCGGUGAAAUGCUUAGAUAUCACGAAGAACUCCGAUUGCGAAGGCAGCAUACGGCAGCGCUACUGACGCUGAAGCUCGAAGGCGCGGGUAUCGAACAGGAUUAGAUACCCUGGUAGUCCGCGCGGUAAACGAUGGAUGCCCGCUGUUGGCGAUAUACUGUCAGCGGCCAAGCGAAAGCGUUAAGCAUCCCACCUGGGGAGUACGCCGGCAACGGUGAAACUCAAAGGAAUUGACGGGGGCCCGCACAAGCGGAGGAACAUGUGGU